GUUGACCUCGGAUCAGGUAGGACUACCCGCUGAACUUAAGCAUAUCAAUAAGCGGAGGAAAAGAAACCAACAGGGAUUGCCCCAGUAACGGCGAGUGAAGCGGCAACAGCUCAAAUUUGAAAUCUGGCCCCAGGCCCGAGUUGUAAUUUGCAGAGGAUGCUUUUGGCGCGGUGCCUUCCGAGUUCCCUGGAACGGGACGCCAUAGAGGGUGAGAGCCCCGUACGGUUGGACACCAAGCCUUUGUAAAGCUCCUUCGACGAGUCGAGUAGUUUGGGAAUGCUGCUCUAAAUGGGAGGUACAUUUCUUCUAAAGCUAAAUACUGGCCAGAGACCGAUAGCGCACAAGUAGAGUGAUCGAAAGAUGAAAAGCACUUUGAAAAGAGGGUUAAACAGCACGUGAAAUUGUUAAAAGGGAAGCGCUUGUGACCAGACUUGCGUCCGGUGAAUCACCCAGCUCUCGCGGCUGGGGCACUUCGCCGGCACAGGCCAGCAUCAGCUUGCCGUCGGGGACAAAAGCUUCAGGAACGUGGCUCCUCUCGGGGAGUGUUAUAGCCUGUUGCAUAAUACCCUUCGGCGGGCUGAGGUACGCGCUCCGCAAGGAUGCUGGCGUAAUGGUCAUCAGCGAC
rnacentral:rRNA from 1 species